rnacentral:rRNA from 1 species
GACGAACGCUGGCGGCGUGCCUAAUACAUGCAAGUCGAGCGAAGUUUUUCUGGUGCUUGCACUAGAAAAACUUAGCGGCGAACGGGUGAGUAACACGUAAAGAACCUGCCUCAUAGACUGGGACAACUAUUGGAAACGAUAGCUAAUACCGGAUAACAGCAUUAACUGCAUGGUUGAUGUUUAAAAGUUGGUUUUGCUAACACUAUGAGAUGGCUUUGCGGUGCAUUAGCUAGUUGGUGGGGUAAAGGCCUACCAAGGCGACGAUGCAUAGCCGACCUGAGAGGGUGAUCGGCCACACUGGGACUGAGACACGGCCCAGACUCCUACGGGAGGCAGCAGUAGGGAAUCUUCCGCAAUGGGCGAAAGCCUGACGGAGCAACGCCGCGUGAGUGAAGAAGGAUUUCGGUUCGUAAAGCUCUGUUGUUAGGGAAGAAUGAUUGUGUAGUAGCUAUACACAGUAGAGACGGUACCUAACCAGAAAGCCACGGCUAACUACGUGCCAGCAGCCGCGGUAAUACGUAGGUGGCAAGCGUUGUCCGGAAUUAUUGGGCGUAAAGCGCGCGCAGGUGGUUUAAUAAGUCUGAUGUGAAAGCCCACGGCUCAACCGUGGAAGGUCAUUGGAAACUGUUAAACUUGAGUGCAGGAGAGAAAAGUGGAAUUCCUAGUGUAGCGGUGAAAUGCGUAGAGAUUAGGAGGAACACCAGUGGCGAAGGCGGCUUUUUGGCCUGUAACUGACACUGAGGCGCGAAAGCGUGGGGAGCAAACAGG